rnacentral:ncRNA from 2 species
GAAAUCUCGUCGGGGUGCUCGACCAUGCAAUAUGCUGAUUGAGCUGAGAGGCUAACGCUAACCCGCAGAACCUGAUCCGGUUAAUACCGGCGGAGGAAACUGAGAUGCUGGGAUUG